GGGGCAUAAGGGUGGCUGGACUUGGGUUCGGCCCAGAAGGUAGGGCCUUUGGCAGCUACUUACUGGCCUGCCCGUUCCAAAUGGGAAGUUGGAUUUCGGGGCCCAGGCGAAAGUUUGGGUUUCGAGGUUCCUAAAGUGGAGGGCACAGCGUGAGGCUGGUUUCACAGAGCAGCGACUACCUCCCGCUUUCCACAGUGGAAGGAUUACGGGCCGGUGCUUCCUUGGCCCAAUAACGCCUGAUGGGUCUCUCCUAACAGGACAGUCACUUUU
rnacentral:SRP_RNA from 1 species